GACAGAGGUUGCAAACGUUGUUCGGAAUCACUGGGCAUAAAGCGCACGUAGGUGGCGCUGUAAGUGGGGUGUGAAAUCCCGGGGCUUAACUCCGGAACUGCAUUCCAUACUGCGGUGCUUGAGGACUGGAGAGGAGACUGGAAUUUACGGUGUAGCAGUGAAAUGCGUAGAGAUCGUAAGGAAGACCAGUGGCGAAGGCGGGUCUCUGGACAGUUCCUGACACUGAGGCACGAAGGCCAGGGGAGCAAACGGG
rnacentral:rRNA from 1 species